AACGAACGCUGGCGGCAUGCCUAAUACAUGCAAGUCGAACGAGAUCUUCGGAUCUAGUGGCGCACGGGUGCGUAACGCGUGGGAAUCUGCCCUUGGGUUCGGAAUAACAGUUGGAAACGACUGCUAAUACCGGAUGAUGACGUAAGUCCAAAGAUUUAUCGCCCAGGGAUGAGCCCGCGUAGGAUUAGCUAGUUGGUGAGGUAAAGGCUCACCAAGGCUACGAUCCUUAGCUGGUCUGAGAGGAUGAUCAGCCACACUGGGACUGAGACACGGCCCAGACUCCUACGGGAGGCAGCAGUAGGGAAUAUUGGACAAUGGGCGCAAGCCUGAUCCAGCAAUGCCGCGUGAGCGAUGAAGGCCUUAGGGUUGUAAAGCUCUUUUACCCGGGAUGAUAAUGACAGUACCGGGAGAAUAAGCCCCGGCUAACUCCGUGCCAGCCGCCGCAGUAAUAC
rnacentral:rRNA from 1 species